rnacentral:rRNA from 1 species
AGCGAACGCUGGCGGCAUGCUUAACACAUGCAAGUCGCACGGGCAGGGCAACCUGUCAGUGGCGGACGGGUGAGUAACGCGUAGGUAUCUAUCCUUGGGUGGGGGACAACGGUUGGAAACGACUGCUAAUACCGCAUGAUAACUGAGGUUUAAAGGCGCAAGUCGCCUGAGGAGGAGCCUGCGUACGAUUAGCUAGUUGGUGGGGUAAAGGCCUACCAAGGCUGUGAUCGUUAGCUGGUCUGAGAGGAUGAUCAGCCACAUUGGGACUGAGACACGGCCCAAACUCCUACGGGAGGCAGCAGUGGGGAAUAUUGGACAAUGGGCGAAAGCCUGAUCCAGCAAUGCCGCGUGUGUGAAGAAGGUCUUCGGAUUGUAAAGCACUUUCGACGGGGACGAUGAUGACGGUACCCGUAGAAGAACGCCCC